rnacentral:rRNA from 1 species
UAGGGAAUCUUCGGCAAUGGACGAAAGUCUGACCGAGCAACGCCGCGUGAGUGAAGAAGGUUUUCGGAUCGUAAAACUCUGUUGUUAGAGAAGAACAAGGACGUUAGUAACUGAACGUCCCCUGACGGUAUCUAACCAGAAAGCCACGGCUAACUACGUGCCAGCAGCCGCGGUAAUACGUAGGUGGCAAGCGUUGUCCGGAUUUAUUGGGCGUAAAGCGAGCGCAGGCGGUUUCUUAAGUCUGAUGUGAAAGCCCCCGGCUCAACCGGGGAGGGUCAUUGGAAAAUGGGAGACUUGAGUGCAGAAGAGGAGAGUGGAAGUCCAUGUGUAGCGGUGAAAUGCGUAGAUAUAUGGAGGAACACCAGUGGCGAAGGCGGCUCUCUGGUCUGUAACUGACGCUGAGGCACGAAAGCGUGGGGAGCAAACAGG